GAAAAAAUGUGCUAGUCAAUGCUAAAAUGUAGAUAAUAUAUGUAAAUGCUUAUCAAAUAUUGUAUUUAGCUGCGCACGCAAACAAUACCGAAUGGACGUUCAACUUGUUGUUUCGUUUGGACAUUUUGGGGCGCAUGGGUGCUUAGACUGAGCAAAAAAGGCGUUCAACACCAUUUCCGAUGCUAGGAAAAUAUUGUGAGACAGCCAUUUUGUUUCGUCGUUACGUUUGUUCAUCGUGCAUUUUUUUUUUCAUGCGAGCUGCUCGCUGCUUUCUGUACACACACACACAUACACAACAUCGAAAAUUCACCACCACCAGCAGAAAGAGCAGCAGCAUUUGUCAUUGCCACCACCACACCAACACAAACAACGGACGCUGAGCGAGACAAACGCUUUCGACUUGUCUCGCACAUGUACACAGUCUCCGCUCUCGCGCUCCGAACCAGCUAAUGCAGCGCUGGUAUGUCGGUUGCAUUUCCACACACGACCAUUAGUCUUGGAUGUGAGCAGUGCCGCUAUAGAGCACUCGGUGUACGCGUGCGCUCGCCUUUCGCUGCUUUUCUGUAUGUGUGUGUGUGUAUUCGCAUUUUGAGUAAUUUCGAAAUUUUUUUUUGUAUAUUUGAUGGCGACAACGACGGCUGCUUUACUCACGAGAAACGCGCGUAUGUCGAAAAUUGUAGCGCUUACGAAUAUAUCGUUACACUAAACAUUUGUGUAGAUAUUUAGAAUUUGCGUGUUGUAUUUGUUAAAAAUCUCCUCGCAUAUAUAAAUAUAUAAAAAUAUAAAUGUAUCUUUAUAUUGAUACAACAACAAAAAAAGGCAAAGCAAAUAAAUAAAACUAACAACAGCAAGGAAAUCGCGACUGCAACAACAACUGAAAAACGUAAACAAGAUACAAAUGCGGAUAACAAACAACAAACUCCCCGCUUCAAUCAACAAUUGACUGGAUUACAACAACAACAAAAUAAAUAUAUUGAAAAUUCUCCUCGCUGCUUGGAUCCCCGACCAAAAUAUGUCAAUAAGAAGAGCAACACCAACAGCAAAAGCAACAAACACAAAUUAAAUACAAAAUACGGUUAACAAAAGGGAGGAAGACGAAGUAGCUGUAGCACUACCACUUCCAACAAACAAGUAACAGCAGCAAGAAGUGUCUGCAUUCAAAAAAACAAAAAAGAAAAAAUAAAUGAAAACAAAAAAAUGCCAAAUGAACUGAUUAAUUGCAAGUGAAACGAAAACGUAAGAAGCGAUUGAAAUUAAAGGCAACCAAUUAACAAUAUCUGCUGGACAUCUGGAGAAAGCCGCCGCGCCACGACACCGGCAAGUGGUGUUGACAACAAUUUACUGAGCAUGCAACGGACACAAAAGCCACCAACAGAAGCCGUCGACGAAGUAGCAGCAACACUCGUUGUUGGUAGCAGCAACACCAGCAGCACCAGCAACACCAGCAGCAGCAGCAACAGUAGC